GCGGGAAUAGCUCAGUUGGUAGAGCACAACCUUGCCAAGGUUGGGGUUUCAUGCA
rnacentral:tRNA from 1 species